UUUUCUGUAGGUGCAGCACCAUUAAGAUUCACAUGGAAAUUGAGAAAACCCUAAUUUAUAUUAAUUAGGGUUCUGAUAUGUAUAUGAGAAUCUUGAUGAUGCUGCAUCAACAACCAA
rfam:Brassica napus, WGS project CCCW01000000 data, contig: 21382